rnacentral:pre_miRNA from 1 species
GGGGAGGCCCAGGUUGCAGUGAGCUGAGAUCACGCCACUGCACUCCAGCCUGGGCAACAAAGUGAGAUUCUGUCUCAAAAAAAAAAGAUUUUUUAAAUUUUUAUUUUAUUUUGAGACGGAGUUUCACUCUUGUUGCCCAGGCUAGAGUGCAGUGGUGCGAUCUCGGCUCACUGCAACCUUUGCCUCCCA